CUCAAUGAAAUUUUAAAUAGCCGCAUCACGUGCUAAGGUAGCAUAAUCAUUUGUCUUUUAAUUAAAGACUAGAACAAAAGAUUUAACAUUUUCAUUUCUUUUUAAUUUAAAUAAAUUCAACUUAUUUUAAAUAUAAAAAAAUAUUUAUAAAAAAAAAAGACGACAAGACCCUAUUGAACUUCACUAAAGUUAAACUGGGGUAGUUAAUUAAAUAUAAUUUUAAUAUAAUUAUUAAAAACACCUAAUACAAUUAAACUAAUCAAGUUACCAUAGGGAUAACAGCGUAAUAAUUUUCUUUAGAUCUCAUUAAAAAAAUUGUUUGCGACCUCGAUGUUGAAUUAAUAUUCUAUUAAACGAAAUAGUUAAUAAGAAAGUC
rnacentral:rRNA from 1 species